AGGUAGAAGAAGUCUCGCCUCUGCCGCCGCCGGCUCCUCUCCUCCCGGCUCUCCUCCUCCUCCUGUUCCGGCUCCUCUUCCUCCUUCCUCUCCAUGCCCUCACACACCUGAUUAUUACUCUCUCGCUCUCUCUCCCCCUCCUCUCUCUCUUUUCUUCUUGAAUUACUGCGGAGACCAAUUAACGGGAGAUUUGUUUAAAUCUGCCUCACCGGGGCUCGCCUCGGCCGCCAUGAAAUCUCAUAAAAACAGGAGAAACUCUCAUCCAUCAGCCGGGAGGUGAGAGUCAGGAGCUGGAGCUGUUAGAGACGCGGGUUCGAGCUCAGCCAUGCAGGGCCUGCUCUGGACAGGAGCUUUGCAGGGACAAACAGAGCAGCUUUGGAAACCUUUCACCUGUUAGAGACUGAGUGUUUAACUUUGAGUUUAGUAGAGCAGACUCUCUUCUCCUCCUCUUCUCCUCUCAUUCCUCCUCUCCCAGUUUCUCCUGUUUUCUUUGGAGGACUGCUGGAAUGGAGCUCAGCGCCAUUUUUCAUGUCAGCACUCAGUGUCUCUGUCUUUGCUCAAAUCCUUCAACGUGAAUUCUUCUUACUGUGCAGGAAAACAACAUGCAGACAUUUGGGGGAGUUUCCCUCCUUCUUUGAAAAACUCUCUUAUAUUUAUUAUUUCUAAUGUUUUCUUCAUUCACGUCCUCAGUUUGUGUUUCAGUCUGAGCAGGAAAAUCUGACUAAAGGACAUUUGGAGCUUUGAGAGGUUUGCAUGGAGUCAGAUAAUUUCAUGAGAGUGUGUGUGUGUGUGUGUGUGUGUGUGUGUGUGUGUGUGUGUGUGUGUGUGUGUGUGUGUGUGUGUGUGCUGCAGGUUUGGUGUGGAGUCAGCAGGUAACAUGAGCAAAGUGCAAGAAAAGGAGUCAGAGGAGUCAAAGAUGGAUCAGAUAUAUUUUUAUUUAAACACAAAAACAAACAUUUAUUCUGCAGGACAAUUACAAUAAUAAUCAUAAUAAUAAUAAUAAUAAUAAUAAAUAAGAACUGGGUGGGUUAGUUCACCGGAAUCAUUUCCCAAUCCCAUUUCCUUGGCUGAGUUCGUCUCCUCCUCUCUCUCUCUGUCUCCCCCCUCGGCCAUCUCUACCUGUGUAAACCUCAGUGUAACCAAAUUACCGCGUCCCCUCGUCCUCCCAUCACGUAAUAACAGCAGCAGCAGCUCUUCUCUAAAUGUGUAUUCUCUCUGUCCGCCGCCGUGUCACAAACAAUAUCCCGCCUCAUUUCUGCGGACGGAGACAGAGAGGGGGAGUGACAGCCUCUCCUUCCGCCUUUUUUCAUAUAUAUUUAAAUAUUUUUCCCCCUCUGCCUAUCUCGACCUCAUAUCUGAUUUGUGUGACAGGGGAAGAGCUGGAAACACAUUUCCUCACGCCUCUGCGGGCGCCUGCAGGCACAGGAGGAGUGUUUUCUGCUCCGAGAGGCGAAAGUUAAAAGAGGAGAGCUCAGCUGACUCCAAAAAUUAGUCAAAGAAUAAAAUAGUCCUCCGUCAGCCCCGUGAAGGGAGCAGGCGGAGGUUUAUCUUAUCUUAUCCAGGCAUGUGUCCACGGCUGAGUGUGUUUGUGUGGGAGAUAGUUCCACAUCAAACCGGCUGAAAUAGUUCAAAUAUUUGGAUCGGUGUUGAGAAAUGAUAUCAGGCUCAGUUUGACAUCCAUUAAAGCUGCAGGAGGGAGGGCAGGAGGCCUCUGCCUGCAUCCAAACAACACACAGAUCUACUCCUAACACUCCUACUGCUGCUGCUGCUUCACUCUUCUCUCUGCUCCUCAGAUUAAAAGCCUCCUCAGUCCCAGAAAAGGUGCGUUAAUGUGUGACUUUAGGCUCAGCAGCUCCUCUCAGACUCUUGGAGUCAAAUUAAUGUUUAGCUGCAGAACAAAAGCAGCUUCAUGAGGAAACGGUCCUGACCCACAAUCAGACUUUCUCACUUUAAACAGAUCUGUGGACUAUCAGAGCAAAGGCUGCUAAAGACAAUUCUCCUUUAAUAUUUUCCCACUUAAGUUUUUUCUUCUACUAAAUUUAACUCUAAAAUAAACCACCAUGCUCCUUUAAAUCUAAAUGUAUUAUCAGUUUUAUUUUUACCCGUUUCAGUUGUCAGCAGAAAUGUAGAAAAACGUGUCUUUAACGGAUUAAAUCUCGCGCGUAAAAACUCACCGAAAUGAAACAUCUCUGUGUCUGAAACCUCCGUUUAUUAUCUCACUGCAAACCCACGCGUCUGAAGCAAACAGGCACGCGGACAAGACUCCACACGAGUCGCAUCUUCCCACUCACUACAUACAACGACUGGCAGCCAUAUUGUCUUCUCCUCUG
rnacentral:lncRNA from 1 species